AGUCUUAUAUUCAAAAAUGAUUUAAAAUUGCAAAUUUUAAGGGGUAAGUAAUAUUACUAAGGCUU
rnacentral:tRNA from 1 species